CGCCUGUUUAUCAAAAACAUCGCCUCUUGUUCAAUUAUAGGAGGUCCAGCCUGCCCAGUGACUCUGUUCAACGGCCGCGGUAUCCUAACCGUGCGAAGGUAGCGUAAUCACUUGUUCUUUAAAUGAGGACUAGUAUGAAUGGCCCCACGAGGGCUGCACUGUCUCCUUUUUCUAAUCAAUGAAACUAAUCUCCCCGUGAAGAAGCGGGAAUUAUCCUAUAAGACGAGAAGACCCUAUGGAGCUUUAAACAAUUGAAACAUUUGCUUUUCUCCUAACUCCUCCCGAGCUCUUUAUUUUUAUUUAAGCAUUAUUAUUUCUAGUUUUAGGUUGGGGUGACCACGGAGCAAAACUAAACCUCCAUGAAGAAAUGAAUAUUUUUAAGCCACAAACUACUUUUUUAAGCAUCAACAAAUUGACCUUCAUUGACCCAAUAUAUUGAUCAACGAACCAAGUUACCCUAGGGAUAACAGCGCAAUCUACUUCAAGAGCUCAUAUCGACAAGUAGGUUUACGACCUCGAUGUUGGAUCAGGGUAUCCUAGUGGUGCAGCCGCUACUAAUGGUUCGUUUGUUCAACGAUUAAAACCCU
rnacentral:rRNA from 1 species